AGAGUUUGAUUCUGGCUCAGGAUGAAUGCUGGCGGCGUGUCUAAGGCAUGCAAGUCGGAUGGGUUUAGACCAUGGCAAACGGGAGAGUAACACAUUGGUAAUUUACCUUGAAGACGGGGAUAAUCCGGCGAAACGUGGGAUAAUACCCGAUGAGAAUGGGGGGACAUAAGUCAUUCCCAUUUAAAGAUUUAUCCCUUCAAGAUGAGCCUAUGUCUCAUCAGCUAGUUGGCGAGGUAAUGGCUCACCAAGGCUUAGACGAGUAGCGGGCGCGAGACGUGAUCCGCCUCAGUGGAACUGAGAACACUGUCCACACUCCUACGGGAAACUGCAGUCAAGAAUCUUCCCCAAUGGCCGAAACGUGAGGGAGCGACGCCGCGUGUAUGAAGAAGCUCUUCGGAGUGUAAAAUACUUUUGAUUGGGACGAACUAUGACUUUACCAAUCGAAUAAGGGGCUGCUAACUUCGUGCCAGCAGCAGCGUAAUACGAAGGCCCCAAGCAUUAUCCGGAUUUAUUGGGCGUAAAGGGUCCGCAGCGGCCUAACGCAUCUUCUGUUAAAUCCUCGGGCUUAACCCGGGGGCCGCGGAAGAGAUGGUUAGGCUAGAGACCGGAAGAGGCAAACGGAAUUGUUGGUGUAGGGGUUAAAUCCGUUAAUAUCAACAAGAACACCAAAUGCGAAGCAGUUUUGCUGGGACGGUUCUGACGCUCAGGGACGAAAGCGUGGGUAGCGAAUGGGAUUAGAUACCCCGGUAGUCCACGCUGUAAACGGUGCGCACUAGGUGUGGGGGUAUCGACCCCUCCUGUGCCGUAGUUAACACGUUAAGUGCGCCGCCUGGGGAGUACGGCCGCAAGGUUGAAACUCAAAGGAAUUGACGGGUCCCGCACAAGCGGUGGAGGAUGUUGUUUAAUUCGAGCCAACGCGAAGAACCUUACCUAGGCUUGAACUGCUGGUAAACCCCUGGAAACAGGGGCUGGGGCAACCCGAUCCAGUAGAGGUACUGCAUGGCUGUCGUCAGCUCGUGUCGUGAGAUGUUGGGUUAAGUCCCGCAACGAGCGCAACCCCUGUCGCUAGUUACCAUCAUUCAGUUGGGGACUCUAGCGAGACUGCCGGUGACAAACCGGAGGAAGGUGGGGAUGACGUCAAGUCCUCAUGGCCCUUACGUCUAGGGCUACAAACGUCCUACAAUGGCCGAGACAGCGAGUUGCGAGACCGCGAGGUUUAGCUAAUCUCUUAAACUCGGUCCCAGUUCAGAUUGCAGUCUGAAAUUCGACUGCAUGAAGGUGGAAUCGCUAGUAAUCGCGGAUCAGCAUGCCGUGGUGAAUACGUUCCCGGGGAUUGUACGCACCGCCCGUCACACCACGAAAGUCUGUUGUUCCAGAAGUCGCUGUUGCAACCCGCAAGGGAGCUAGGCGACAAAGGAAUAACCGGUAAUUGGGGUGAAGUCGUAACAAGGUAGCCGUAUCGGAAGGUGCGGCUGGAUCACCUCCUU
rnacentral:rRNA from 1 species